GAAGGGGACUAGCGUUGUUCGGAAUCACUGGGCGUAAAGCGCACGUAGGCGGAUUCGUAAGUCAGGGGUGAAAUCCCGGGGCUCAACCUCGGAACUGCCUUUGAUACUGCGGGUCUUGAGUCCGAUAGAGGUGGGUGGAAUUCCUAGUGUAGAGGUGAAAUGCGUAGAUAUCUGGAGGAACACCGGUGGCGAAGGCGGCAUCCUGGACCGACACUGACGCUGAGGAGCGAAAGCCAGGGGAGCAAACGGGAUUAGAUACCCCGGUAGUCCUGGCCCUAAACGAUGAAUGCUUGGUGUGGCGGGUAUCGAUCCCUGCCGUGCCGAAGCUAACGCAUUAAGCAUUCCGCCUGGGGAGUACGGUCGCAAGGCUG
rnacentral:rRNA from 1 species